GACAGUUUGGCCGAGUAGUGUAAGGUGCCAGAUUUAGGCUCUGGUCCGAGAGGGCGUGGGUUCAAAUCCCGCAGCUGUCA
rfam:Picea glauca, whole genome shotgun sequence.